rnacentral:rRNA from 1 species
UACGUAGGGUGCAAGCGUUGUCCGGAAUUAUUGGGCGUAAAGAGCUCGUAGGCGGCUUGUCGCGUCGGCUGUGAAAACCUGGGGCUCAACCCCGGGCCUGCAGCCGAUACGGGCAAGCUAGAGUUCGGCAGGGGAGACUGGAAUUCCUGGUGUAGCGGUGAAAUGCGCAGAUAUCAGGAGGAACACCGGUGGCGAAGGCGGGUCUCUGGGCCGAUACUGACGCUGAGGAGCGAAAGCGUGGGGAGCGAACAGG